rnacentral:rRNA from 1 species
GACGAACGCUGGCGGCGUGCUUAACACAUGCCAGUCGAACGGAAAGGCCCUGCUUUUGUGGGGUGCUCGAGUGGCGAACGGGUGAGUAACACGUGAGUAACCUGCCCUUGACUUUGGGAUAACUUCAGGAAACUGGGGCUAAUACCGGAUAGGAGCUCCUGCUGCAUGGUGGGGGUUGGAAAGUUUCGGCGGUUGGGGAUGGACUCGCGGCUUAUCAGCUUGUUGGUGGGGUAGUGGCUUACCAAGGCUUUGACGGGUAGCCGGCCUGAGAGGGUGACCGGCCAGAUUGGGAAUGGAAAGAGGCCCGGAAGCCGUCGGGAGGUGGCGGGGGGGAUUAGUGCCAAGGGGGGGGAGGCCAGGUCCAACAACGCCGGGGGGGGAGAAACGGAAUUCGGGUUGAAAACCAUUUUGGCUUGGGUCAAAGGGGGGGGCACGGGAAUGGGUAAAGAACCACGGCGUAAUUAAGU